UAUCAAGGGGUGCUGCCUGUUGGCGGCUGAGAUGAUACCCUUUCACCUGAUCCGGACAAUGCCGGCGUAGGGAUGGAUAGU
rnacentral:ncRNA from 1 species